AUGAUGUCAAGGGCUGGAGAGGGAGGCUACAGAGUGGGUCUAGGUCCAGGUACAGUCUCAGAACCACACUGCAAAACUGGCUUAGUCAGGUAGCUGCUGUAUCUGCUGCUUCCACUGUGAACUCAAAAACCACAUUGCCUGUGCUGCAGGCCGGAAAGCUGCUGAACCAGGAAGCUGUGCUGAUGCUGCUGACUGCCCCUGAGGUUAGAGAUUGACUAGACAUAGUGCCACUGUCAUCCCUGCUGGAGAAGGUCCGAAGCACCUCCACCUCUGUGCUUCCAGAGGGGCACUGUGGUGGCCACUUAAAAUGCUCAGGCUAUACCAUGCACUAGAGCAUCUACCUGGGCAAGGGAUAUGCUGUAUGACACUCUCCUGAUGCUGGGCAUGGCUGUGAGCCAAAGCACCCAGGCAGCCCUGCCAUCAGAAGGGUAAACCACGGACACCUGAUGCCUUCCUGAAGGAAGAGCACUACGCCUGCCAAACCAUCAAGCGUUGAUGCUCCAGCGCCUUCUACCCGUGGUUCUCCAGCCUCAGCAGAAGAGAGAGAAAUUGAUGACCCUGUCGUUGUAGCAUCCCCAUCACCCAGCAAUUAAUUUUAGUUCAAUGCUUCAAACGCUCUUCAGGCGCAGUGUGCGUUCAGCUGUGUCAGCUAAUGGCACUGGAGACACAGAAAUGAAAGAGACAACGUGCCCUCAAGGAUCUCACAGUGUGUGGUGAGGUGGACACACACACACAUAUCUAAGCACAUGACAGUGAGAGGCACGUGGUCACGAGGUUGUGACGUGGAGCUGAGAGCUCAGAGGAAGGGCUUUGGAUCAAGUGUGGUCAGACCACACUCGGCCAUGAAAGUCUUUGAAGGUGGGGAAGGGGUGAAGAUGGUGAGGGGAUUCCACGGCUGGGAGAGGUACACUCCCUACACGUUCUAACCAACUGGCCGUGGGGAGGAAGCUGGAGGUCAGGACACAGCAAAUGGGGGAUCUCAGAAGUCUUAAUGAAGUAACUAUCCCUGAACACUGGGAUCAAUACUCAGCAUCCAGCUGUCAAAUCAACACCAAGCGUUUCACUCGUCGCCCAGCCUAGAGUGCAAUGGCGCUAUUUCGGCUCAUUAUAACCUCCGCCUCCCGGGUUCAAGCAAUUCUUCUGCUUCAGCGUCCCAAGUAGCUGGGAUUACAGCCGCCUCCUGGAGCAGAUUGUUAAGCUGAUGCGAGUCUGGGCUCUGCCUCACCACUUGUCUCAGAGGAAUCUCGGCCAAGAAGACAGGGACAAGCUCCCAACUCUGACUACCCCUUUUACAGGGAAAAAAAAAAAAUCCCGUGCCUUCUUUGCAGCAAGUGACAAAUCCUUGUCAUAUCGAGAUGGCUUUUCCUCCUCCUCUUCAAACAUCUUUUAGCAGCAACAGCAGCUCAAGUAACUGGAAUUAUUUCAGAGUUAAAAUGCAGGCUUUGUAGACCCUCUUAGACAGACAGAUUCAAUUUCAAAGGAAACUUCUUUGGCUGGGUACUCAGUGAGUGUUACACAGGGAUUUGGGGAGUUAAUAUUCACUGUUUCUGUUGUUGGAGAAAAGGAAAGCAGAGUUGCUCUUUCUCAUUACUCUCCCCAACGCACAUCUGUUUCCUCUCGUAUCUUGGAAUUAGGAAGAUGGAGGAGACUUAAGUGGUGACCCACCUAGCCUCCUGAUGCAUGCUGGGCUCACUUUAAAACUCCCAAAACAGAUGGCAGUUGAUCACGGUUUUAAAGAUCCCAGCAUAGACUUUCUGCAGCCUCCCUUGUUAGCCACUAUCAGCGCUUAACAUUCUGUCAUCUGAAUAACUCCUUAAAAAUGAUAGCAAUGGUAGUAGAAAUUUAAAAGGAACCUCCCAAAAAACAUGCAAAAGCUUACCACCCCAGUAAAUCACCCGCAACAAUGUCGCAACAGUUUAAAUUUACUGCAGAGAGAGCUGAAGUUUAGGAGACACAGCUUUAUAAUAUUUUUGAGAGAUAGUUGAGUGCAAAUGAGUCCUGUUCCUCUUGCAUCAGGGCCUGCUCCACUGAGUCAUCCUGCCUUCAGAAGCUUCCAGCUAAGUGGCAGGCCCCGGCCAUAGGCUCCCUGUGUCCCCAGCCUCCAGAGAACACACAAUGUUCUCAUCGCCCUUAGCUCCAUUCCAGAAGGGGCCUGCAGUUCUGCAGCUUAUCAGGGGUCUACUGGGAAGUGAGAUGUCACUGUCCCUUUCUGGCCCUGCAUUGUCUGUGAGUGGCUCUCCUGGAUUAAGAGUUGGCAAAGUAUGGCCAGUGGCCAGGACUGGCCUGCUGCCUGUUUUUGUUUAACCCGUGAGCUAAGAAUAGUUUUUACCUAUUUUAAGUAGUUGAAAAAAAAAUCAAGAGAAGAAUACUAUUUCGUGAUAUGUGAAAAAUCACAUGAAAUUCAAAUGUAAGUGUCCAUAAAUAAAGUCUUACUGGAAGACAGCCUUGCUCAUUUAUUUCUGUCUCAUUCGCUACUGUCUGCGGCUGCCUUCACGCUACAAUGGCAGUACUGAGUAGUUGUGACGGGCACUGUAUGACAGCAAAUCCUAAAGUAUUUGCCAUCUGGCCCUUCACAGAAAAAGUUUGCUGACCCUGGCUUUCGAGCCUCUCAUCACUUUGGGAUUCAUCUCUUUACUUUCCCCAGAGUGAGGGAGGCAGUAACGUUCCUCGUGAGUGCUUAGUCCUUGCUCCCAAGGCAAUAAACCCCCCAAAACCCCUCUCUUUCUGCAGUCUUCUUGUUGGCUUGAUAGUGGUAGGGCUGGUUCAGCCAAGGUCACAGUUGGAGGGCAGGAAGGGGGUACAGCGAAGGACGACGGGGGUGUCUUCUCUAGUCCUGUUUGCAGCAAUCUUUAGAAUGCAAAAUAAUUAAGAAGAAACUGCUGUUUUUUGGCUGUGGGAUGCAAUUCGAAUUCUGGAAAAUUAGAAUCAACAGAACGUGGGAUGUGGGAGUCCAGGACAACUCCCCUGUUUUGGCUGUGUUUGGUGCCAUGUGUGGAGGUGGGAGAGAUGGGAGAAAGAAGAGGUUUGGGCAGGGGGAGGGAAGAAUCAAGAUUCUGCUUUGAAUGGACGAAGGUUGUGGUUUGUUGAGAGGACAACUAGAUAACUGGCCACUUGAAGAUGGGAUGGAAGUCUGAAUCUGCAAGGAGUCACAGAUGAAUGGUAUGGAAAGCUGUGGUAGUGGAUGAGAUCAUACGAACGGUGGGUGCAGAUGGAAACGAGAAGCCAUCUAAGGACUCGUAAUGGGCUCCUCAACACUUGGAAGUUGGGUAGAGGAAGAAGACCGCAUGAGGGCAGGAUCCUGAAUGUUCCACUCACUGCUAUAUCCCUAGCACUGGUUACAGUGCUUGGCACACACUGCAUGCUCAAUAAAUUAUUUGUUGCCCAUAUAAGUGAACGUGAAUUCCAAUGGACUAGCAUCUUCCACUCUCAACAUAAACAAAAACAACAGCAACAUUGCAAUUCCCUAUCUUCUCUUCCCUGAUCUCUUUCUCAUUCUGUCUCUCCUUCCCUUUUCCUCUGCCUUCCUGUUGCCUUCUCUGAUAUGAGUUAAAUUUAUCAGGGGUGUCCAGGUACCCGGCUAUUCUUGAGCAUUCCUUAUCUGGCUA
rnacentral:lncRNA from 10 species